UACAGAGGUCUCAAGCGUUGUUCGGAUUCAUUGGGCGUAAAGGGUGCGUAGGCGGCGGAGUAAGUUGGGUGUGAAAUCCCGGGGCUCAACCUCGGAAUGGCAUUCAAUACUGCUUCGCUCGAGUACUGGAGAGGAGGCUGGAAUUUACGGUGUAGCAGUGAAAUGCGUAGAUAUCGUAAGGAAGGCCGGUGGCGAAAGCGAGCCUCUGGACAGUUACUGACGCUGAUGCACGAAGGCCAGGGGAGCAAACGGG
rnacentral:rRNA from 1 species